rnacentral:rRNA from 1 species
CGAUGAAGCCCUUCGGGGUGGAUUAGUGGCGAACGGGUGAGUAACACGUGGGCAAUCUGCCCUUCACUCUGGGACAAGCCCUGGAAACGGGGUCUAAUACCGGAUAACACUCUGUCCUGCAUGGGACGGGGUUGAAAGCUCCGGCGGUGAAGGAUGAGCCCGCGGCCUAUCAGCUUGUUGGUGGGGUAAUGGCCUACCAAGGCGACGACGGGUAGCCGGCCUGAGAGGGCGACCGGCCACACUGGGACUGAGACACGGCCCAGACUCCUACGGGAGGCAGCAGUGGGGAAUAUUGCACAAUGGGCGAAAGCCUGAUGCAGCGACGCCGCGUGAGGGAUGACGGCCUUCGGGUUGUAAACCUCUUUCAGCAGGGAAGAAGCGCAAGUGACGGGACCUGCAAAAUAAGCGCCGGCUAACU